rnacentral:rRNA from 1 species
AGUGAACGCUGGCGGUAGGCCUAACACAUGCAAGUCGAACGGCAGCACAGUAAGAGCUUGCUCUUACGGGUGGCGAGUGGCGGACGGGUGAGGAAUACGUCGGAAUCUACUUUUUCGUGGGGGAUAACGUAGGGAAACUUACGCUAAUACCGCAUACGACCUACGGGUGAAAGCAGGGGAUCUUCGGACCUUGCGCGAUUGAAUGAGCCGAUGUCGGAUUAGCUAGUUGGCGGGUUAAAGGCCCACCAAGGCGACGAUCCGUAGCUGGUCUGAGAGGAUGAUCAGCCACACUGGAACUGAGACACGGUCCAGACUCCUACGGGAGGCAGCAGUGGGGAAUAUUGGACAAUGGGCGCAAGCAUGAUCCAGCCAUACCGAGUGGGUGAAGAAGGCCUUCGGGUUGUAAAGCCCUUUUGUUGGGAAAGAAAAGCAGCAGGUUAAUACCCCGCUGUUCUGACGGUAACCAAAGAAUAAGCACCGGCUAACUUCGUG